GGGCCUAUAGCCUAGUCUGGAUAAGGCGACAGCCUUCUAAGCUGUAGAUCGAGGGUUCGAAUUUAAAAAAAAAACGAAAGUCCCUCUAGGCCCG
rnacentral:tRNA from 1 species